AUUUCUGCAUUGGUCCUGUCCAAAAAAAUGUGUCAUUCUGCGUUAUGAGUCUGCCUCUUUAUCAGGAAGUAUUAGUCUUCUGAAAUCAUCCUGUUUCCCCUUUGGGAGAACUCUACCCCAAAUUCUAAGACCCGUUCAUGGAAAAAGGAAUUUGGUAAGAUCUCAACCAACCAGUAUCAUGUCCACGAACCUCCAGCCUCCAGAGACCACCAACCGCACAUGAGGCCUGGAGCAGGAAGCGGGUACCUGGAGGGGCUACCAGAGGGCCCCUCAGAACUACUAGCUAAAGGAGAAGUCCCCAAGAGAAGGGGCAGGGGAGGAGGCAGCCGGGACUGGGCCGGGCCUCCACCCUGGCUCCUCUCCCAGCCUCCUCCCGGCCUAGCCUGACUCAGGCCGUGUCUGACUGGCUGGGCCACAUCCCUCCCCCGGCCUCCGCAGGCCCUAAGCUGGGGAGGAGCCAGCUCCUGGUGUCCUGGGGCCUCCCCCUGGAGAGGUUUUUCCUUCCGCUGGGCCAAGGGCACUGCCAGCUUCUGCCUCCCUCUGCAUUGAACCCCAUAUAAAGGCAGUCCACACCUGGGUGGGUAGAACAGGGGCUCCUGCUGCCAGGAUGUCAGGGGCUGGGCCGGGGGGAAGGGAGAGAGUACUUGGACCCAGAGGGAGCCACCAUGUCAGGAACAACUCAGGGCCCUUAGCUAGCUUGGGGCAGGGUUCUCUCUCAUGGGGCACAGGGGGAAGAAACUCUUUAAUCUCCCAUGUGUGGGAAGCCCAGCCCAAUCAAGGCUUUUCCUCCCCCCUCCUCUCUGAGAGCCAAGGUUCAGGAGAGAUGACCUCUGGCCCUCAGGCUGCUGGGGCACCACCUCCAAGCUGAACUCUCUGAGCCUGGGCCUGGUGAUUCAGAGCCAGGCUGGAUCGGGACAGGACCCUAGGGAUCCUCCCCUAGUUUUCUGUAGGUAGCCUGUCCCAUGAGUGCUCAGCGGCUGCUCCUGGUCCAGCAACAUCUGCACCCAGGAGAGGUAAGGGGGACUCCCAGGACCGGGGGAGAUUCCCAGGUGGCCUGGGGGCUGGCAUGGGCAAGGGGCUGGAGAAAGGCUCCCUCCUGGUCUAGGCUAGCCCAGCCCCUGGCCGGGGGCCUCUGUCUGUGGCUCCUUGUAAACCUGUCACCAGGACGUCCCCCCCUCCUGGGCUCUGUUUCUCCUCCAGGAGCAUAAACCAGCUCCAUAAAAUCUCAAAGUUGGCCCGCCGCCCACAGCCCUGGGCUGCUCUCAGAGAAGCGCUGUGGGCCUCCGGCAUGAGCCUGAGGACGGGGCGGGCUCCUAGGAAGGGAGCUCAGGGCCCAAGCCCUUUUCAGAGCACUUUAAAGUCUGCAAAUGCUUUCUGUACAUCAGCUCGUUUGUUCCUCCCAACAGCCCUGUGAGGCAGGUGCUGUUAGC